rnacentral:rRNA from 1 species
AGUGAACGCUGGCGGUAGGCCUAACACAUGCAAGUCGAACGGCAGCACAGGUGAGCUUGCUCUCUGGGUGGCGAGUGGCGGACGGGUGAGGAAUACAUCGGAAUCUACUCUGUCGUGGGGGAUAACGUAGGGAAACUUACGCUAAUACCGCAUACGACCUACGGGUGAAAGCAGGGGACCUUCGGACCCUGCGCGAUUGAAUGAGCCGAUGUCGGAUUAGCUAGUUGGCGGGGUAAAGGCCCACCAAGGCGACGAUCCGUAGCCGGUGUGAGAGGAUGAUCAGCGACACUGGAACUGAGACACGGUCCAGACUCCUACGGGAGGCAGCAGGGGGGAAUAUUGGACAAUGGGCGCAAGCCUGAUCCAGCCAUACCGCGUGGGUGAAGAAGGCCUUCGGGUUGUAAAGCCCUUUUGUUGGGAAAGAAAUCCAGCUGGCUAAUACCCGGUUGGGAUGACGGUACCCAAAGAAUAAGCACCGGCUAACUUCGUGCCAGCAGCCGCCGUAA